rnacentral:rRNA from 1 species
AGAGUUUGAUCAUGGCUCAGAUUGAACGCUGGCGGCAGGCCUAACACAUGCAAGUCGAACGGUAACAGGAAACAGCUUGCUGUUUCGCUGACGAGUGGCGGACGGGUGAGUAAUGUCUGGGAAACUGCCUGAUGGAGGGGGAUAACUACUGGAAACGGUAGCUAAUACCGCAUAACGUCGCAAGACCAAAGAGGGGGACCUUCGGGCCUCUUGCCAUCAGAUGUGCCCAGAUGGGAUUAGCUAGUAGGUGGGGUAACGGCUCACCUAGGCGACGAUCCCUAGCUGGUCUGAGAGGAUGACCAGCCACACUGGAACUGAGACACGGUCCAGACUCCUACGGGAGGCAGCAGUGGGGAAUAUUGCACAAUGGGCGCAAGCCUGAUGCAGCCAUGCCGCGUGUAUGAAGAAGGCCUUCGGGUUGUAAAGUACUUUCAGCGGGGAGGAAGGGAGUAAAGUUAAUACCUUUGCUCAUUGACGUUACCCGCAGAAGAAGCACCGGCUAACUCCGUGCCAGCAGCCGCGGUAAUACGGAGGGUGCAAGCGUUAAUCGGAAUUACUGGGCGUAAAGCGCACGCAGGCGGUUUGUUAAGUCAGAUGUGAAAUCCCCGGGCUCAACCUGGGAACUGCAUCUGAUACUGGCAAGCUUGAGUCUCGUAGAGGGGGGUGGAAUUCCAGGUGUAGCGGUGAAAUGCGUAGAGAUCUGGAGGAAUACCGGUGGCGAAGGCGGCCCCCUGGACGAAGACUGACGCUCAGGUGCGAAAGCGUGGGGAGCAAACAGGAUUAGAUACCCUGGUAGUCCACGCCGUAAACGAUGUCGACUUGGAGGUUGUGCCCUUGAGGCGUGGCUUCCGGAGCUAACGCGUUAAGUCGACCGCCUGGGGAGUACGGCCGCAAGGUUAAAACUCAAAUGAAUUGACGGGGGCCCGCACAAGCGGUGGAGCAUGUGGUUUAAUUCGAUGCAACGCGAAGAACCUUACCUGGUCUUGACAUCCACGGAAGUUUUCAGAGAUGAGAAUGUGCCUUCGGGAACCGUGAGACAGGUGCUGCAUGGCUGUCGUCAGCUCGUGUUGUGAAAUGUUGGGUUAAGUCCCGCAACGAGCGCAACCCUUAUCCUUUGUUGCCAGCGGUCCGGCCGGGAACUCAAAGGAGACUGCCAGUGAUAAACUGGAGGAAGGUGGGGAUGACGUCAAGUCAUCAUGGCCCUUACGACCAGGGCUACACACGUGCUACAAUGGCGCAUACAAAGAGAAGCGACCUCGCAAGAGCAAGCGGACCUCAUAAAGUGCGUCGUAGUCCGGAUUGGAGUCUGCAACUCGACUCCAUGAAGUCGGAAUCGCUAGUAAUCGUGGAUCAGAAUGCCACGGUGAAUACGUUCCCGGGCCUUGUACACACCGCCCGUCACACCAUGGGAGUGGGUUGCAAAAGAAGUAGGUAGCUUAACCUUCGGGAGGGCGCUUACCACUUUGUGAUUCAUGACUGGGGUGAAGUCGUAACAAGGUAACCGUAGGGGAACCUGCGGUUG